UAGGCGGUUUAGCAAGUCAGGUGUAAAAGACCACGGCUCAACCGUGGAGAUGCAUCUGAAACUGAUUGGCUAGAGGGCAGGAGAGGAGAGUGGAAUUCCCGGUGUAGCGGUGAAAUGNGUAGAUAUCGGAAGGAAUACCAGUGGCGAAGCCGACUCCCUGGACUGACCCUGACGCUGAGGCGCGAGAGCGUGGGGAGCAAACAGGAUUAGAUAGCCCUGGUAGUGCACGCUGUAAACGAUGGGUGCUAGGUGUGGGGAGCGGAAGCUUUCCGUGCCGUAGGAAACCCAAUAAGCACCCCGCCUGGGGAGUACGGCCGCAAGGCUGAAACUCAAAGGAAUUGACGGGGGCCCGCACAAGCGGUGGAGCAUGUGGUUUAAUUUGAAGCAACGCGAAGAACCUUACCAGGGCUUGACAUGCAGGUAGUAGCGAGCCGAAAGGUGAGCGACCCUCUCUUAUGGGAGGGAGCCUGCACAGGUGGUGCAUGGUUGUCGUCAGCUCGUGUCGUGAGAUGUUGGGUUAAGUCCCGCAACGAGCGCAACCCCUGCCUCUAGUUGCCAGCGGGUGAUGCCGGGCACUCUAGAGGGACUGCCGUCGAUAAGACGGAGGAAGGUGGGGAUGACGUCAAAUCAUCAUGCCCUAUAUGCCCUGGGCCACACACGUGCUACAAUGGCCGGUACAGAGGGAAGCGAAGGAGUGAUCUGGAGCGAAUCCCAAAAAGCCGGUCUCAGUUCGGAUUGCAGGCUGCAACUCGCCUGCAUGAAGGCGGAAUCGCUAGUAAUCGCGGAUCAGCAUGCCGCGGUGAAUGCGUUCCCGGGCCUUGUACACACCGCCCGUCACACCACGAGAGUCUGCAACACCCGAAGCCGGUGGCCCAACCCGAAGAGGGAGGGAGCCGUCGAAGGUGGGGCAGAUGAUUGGGGUGAAGUCGUAACAAGGUA
rnacentral:rRNA from 1 species